rnacentral:rRNA from 1 species
GACGAACGCUGGCGGCAUGCCUAAUACAUGCGAGUCGAGCGAACAGAUGAAGUGCUUGCACUUCUGACGUUAGCGGCGAACGGGUGAGUAACACGUAAGGAAUCUACCUAUAAGCGGGGGAUAACAUUCGGAAACGGGUGCUAAUACCGCAUAAUAUCUUCUUCCGCAUGGAAGAAGAUUGAAAGACGGCUCUGCUGUCACUUAUAGAUGACCUUGCGGUGCAUUAGUUAGUUGGUGGGGUAACGGCCUACCAAGACGAUGAUGCAUAGCCGACCUGAGAGGGUGAUCGGCCACAUUGGGACUGAGACACGGCCCAAACUCCUACGGGAGGCAGCAGUAGGGAAUCUUCCGCAAUGGGCGAAAGCCUGACGGGGCAAUGCCGCGUGAGUGAAGAAGGCCUUCGGGUCGUAAAACUCUGUUAUAAGAGAAGAACAAAUUGUAGAGUAACUGCUACAGUCUUGACGGUAUCUUAUCAGAAAGCCACGGCUAACUACGUG